GUGGAUGUGACGGAAUUGGAAGACGUAUUAGGUUUAGGUUCUAAUUAUUUUUUAAAUAGUGAGAGUUCAAAUCUCUCCAUCCAUA
rnacentral:tRNA from 1 species